CAGGCAGCUUUGGAGAGGAAGGCCUCCUCCCGCCAGCCCAGAGACGGAGCAACGACACCGAGCCCAGAACCCCAGGCGGGGGCUGGACUGACCACGUCCUGUUGGCCGCUUCUGGGACAUUGAUUAGACCUCACUGGGCCUGACUCCUCUCUAUAAAGUGGGUACAGCCUCCCAAGCCCACAGCACGGCCGGGACGGCUCACGGGGCCACAGCCCGGAGCAAGGAGAAUGGCCCCUGGGGGCCCUGCUUACGCCUGGCGGAGCACACAGGGGAUGAGGGGGCGGCCGGAUGUGCAUCGGCAGUCCUGGGAGGAGCGCAUGGCGGGGGCGCUGUGGAGGGAGGACCCAUUGUCUCAUUCUUGACCAUUUACCUAUUGGACGCCUGUGGGUCCUUAAUCUCUCUAUGCGCUGUUGGCCCUGGAAGUAAAAGGCUGAGAAGGAGAAGGUUGAAACCCCAAUACUUGGGACACCUGAUUCAAAGAGCCAACUCAUUGGAAAAGACCCUGAUGCUGGGAAAGAUUGAAGGCAAGAGAAGAAAGGGAUGACAGAGGACGAGAUGGUUGGAUGGCAUUACUGACUCGAUGGACACGAGUUUGAGCAAGCUCUGGGAGUUGGUGAUGAGCAGGGAAACAUGGUGUGCUGCAGUCCAUGGGGUCACAAAGAGUCGGACACAGCUGAGCGAUUGAGCAACUUUCCAAGAGAGAAAGCAACCGGAGCCCAGAGAUGUCAAGUGACAGGCUCAAGGUCACACAGCAGUUCUCUCCCAGGACCUGGACGAGCCCUGGUCAUCCAACAAGCCCCCGCUGAGCCCAGUGGAUCUGUGGCUGGAGAGCCCUGGAUUCCAGUCAUGUAUGGAUGUGAGAGCUGGAUCAUAAAGAAGGCUGAGUGCUUGAGAACUGAUGCUUCAGAAUUGUGGUGCUGGGCAACACUCUUGAGAGUUUCUGGACAGGACUCAAGACUGCAAGGAGAUCAAACCAGUCAAUUCUAAAGGAAAUCAACCCUGAUAUUCACUGGAAGGAAAAUGCUGAAGCUGCAAUACUUUGGCCACCUGCUGUGAAGAGCCGACUCAUUGGAAAAGACCCUGGUGCUGGGAAAGAUUGUGAGCAGAAGGAGAAGUGGGUGACAGAGGAUGAGAUGGCUGGAUGGCAUCGCUGACUCAAUGAAUAUGAAGUUGAGCAAACUCCAGGAGAUGGUGAAGGACAGGGAAGCCUGGCAUGUUGCAGUUCACGAGGUUGCAGAGUCGGACACAACUUAACAGUUGAACAAGAACUAGGUCUCAAACCUACACUGUCCAGCUUCCCCAUACUCUGUUCACCAAACCAUACUCCUGGCCAUCUUCAUACUAGUGGGAUGAAGAUAUGGACCCCGGUGAGAGUGUGGUCCUGGUCCCCUGUUCUCCCAGGCCCCACGGCCCUGAGCCACUAUCCCCAAGGUCACCAGAAAGCAGCUUUAGCAAGACCUGCUGGGGGCAGAGCAACCAGGAAGCCUGCAAGGGCACUCAGGUGGGCAGGACCAUCGACAACACUCCCUGUCCUCUGCAGCUUGGCCAUCGCCCACACGUAGCCACACUCGGAGAACCAGGAAGAGACUUUCGGAUGUUCAACAAGGUUCUGGAGUGACACUGCCCACUUGUCUCUCCAUUCCUGGCAGGGUGACACCCCAACAGCAUUUUAGGGGACAAGGAGUGGGGAAGGAGAAAACUGACAUGGACAGAGAGCUCAGCUCUGGAUGAGGGAUCCUUUUAUUCAUUCAUUUAUUCUACAAAUAUUAAUAAACACGCUGGGCUAGGAGCUCUCACAUUUCCUCUUUCAUGGAUUCGUACAAGCAGCGCCAAGG
ensembl:lncRNA